rnacentral:snRNA from 1 species
AAACUUACCCUAAAGGGGAAAUACUGUGAUCACCAAGGUGUUCUUUCUGGGUGAGGCUCCUUCACUGCGCUCCGCAUCUGCUGACUCCAUGAUUGCCCCAAAUUUAGAAAAGUACAUAAUUUGUGACUGUGGAGAGCCUUAUUCUCAC